GGGUCGAUAGCUCAAUGGUAGAGCAGUUGCCUUUUAAGCAAUUGGUUCGGGGUUCGAGCCCCCGUCGACCCA
rnacentral:tRNA from 1 species